rnacentral:sRNA from 1 species
AAAGAUGAUACUAGGUCAGGAAAUAGCAUUUGAAAGUCAUUCUCAUCUGGAGGGAUGAAGCCAAGAUAAGGCGGAAGCCGGGAAAAGCUUUAAGAAAGCAAAGAAUGAAAAUAGCCCUGAUACCCAAAGAAGCAAAUCUCAUGCACCGUGGGAAGAAAAUGGCCCCCAGAGUGGACUCUACAAUUCUCCCAGUGACCGCACUAAGUCGCCAAAGUUCCCUUACACGCGUCGCCGAAACCCCUCCUGUGGAAGUGACAAUGAUUCUGUACAGCCUGUGAGGAGGAGGAAAGCCCAUAACAGUGGUGAAGAUUCAGAUCUUAAGCAAAGGAGGAG